rnacentral:rRNA from 1 species
AUUGAACGCUGGCGGCAUGCCUUACACAUGCAAGUCGAACGGCAGCACGGUUACUUGUACCUGUUGGCGAGUGGCGGUCGGGUGAGUAUUACAUCGGCAUAUGUCCUUACGUUGUGGUUGGCCCGACCAAAGCCAGAUUUAUACUACAUACGCUUACCACCUACGAGCGGGGGACCUUCGUGUUCCGCCCUUUAGGGUUUGCCUAUGCCUAUGUCGGAUUAGCUAGUUGGCGGGGUAAAGGCCCACCAAGGCGACGAUCAGUAGCUGGUCUGAGAGGAUGAUCAGCCACACUGGAACUGAGACACGGUCCAGACUCCUACGGGAGGCAGCAGUGGGGAAUAUUGGACAAUGGGCGAAAGCCUGAUCCAGCAAUGCCGCGUGGGUGAAGAAGGCCUUCGGGUUGUAAAGCACUUUUGUUCGGAAAGAAAAGCAGGGGGCUAAUACGGUGGGGGGAUGACGGUACCGGAAGAAUAAGCACCGGCUAACUACGUG